CUUGAAAACAUUUAAAAAAAUAUUAAAGUCCCCAAACUUUUAAACAUGAGUGUAUCUUAGGAUCUAUUCCAAAUCCUACUGAGCUGAUCAUGUUGAGGCAUAAUUUGUGUGCUACAGACGCAUAAUUAUGCUGCCUUAUAACUUAUGUAACAUUCUUUUAGCCACAUUUUAAGACAGCACUGCAUGGUUCCUUUGUGGUGAAGGCAAUCCCAAGGAUUUCCAUAAGCUCAGUAAGAUAAAAAAAAAAAAAAAAAUGUAUCCAAGAUGAGAGACAAAGCACAAAGCAAUUCAAGCGUUGAUUCUAAAUAUCAUUUAAUCCAAUAAAAAUGCCCUGUGUGUUAUUUACAGUGUUGCUGACAAUUAAGCGCAUUCUAAAUCAGUCACUUAUGAGCUUCCAUUUCAGUCAGGAAUCUGCUUUAGAAGGCGACUGCCAGUGUAUACAGGCAUUAGACACCAAGGCAGCUCACUAGGUUUUGGGACAGAGUCCGAGUGUUUAGACGGCCGACUCUGAGAAAGCUCGUUCUGUGAAUGGGGAAUCUGCGCCGGCCGAAUCCAGCUCUCCCUCUCCUCCAGUACAGCUGCUCCAGACUCACGUGUUGCUAUUCCUAGCCGCACCCAGGAGCUAUAAAUAGCUGUCUUUCUUUGCAGACCGCUGGAACACGUGCCGUCAGCCUUCGAGGCAAGAGGAGCCAAUCAGUGGAGAAACUGGAACCAUGUGAUUUUAUUGUUUUUAGAUGGAAGUUAUGGUCAUAUCUGUGUUUGUGGAGAUAAAAUGACUGUCCUUCACAGAAGAGCUCUAUUGAAGAAUGUUAUGUUUGCCUUUGAAUAGAUGGAUAAGUCAAAGAAUACAACAAAAGCGGAAGACGUUUUAUCAGAUAUACAGGAGCCACAAAUCUGGAGAAAUGUAGCAUUGCAUCACUGUCUCAGCAAUGGAUCCUCUGCAGUGAAUGGGUGCCGUCAGAAUGAGAGUCCAAACAGCUGAUAAAAAGUGGUCUGGCCUGAAUCAGGAGCGAAAUCUGCACAGAUCAAGCACCGUUUACAAGACAAACAGACCAAAACAGCUCUAAACAAAUAUGUGGGUGGAUUAUGAUGUGAGAGACAACAGGAGAUGGAGCGUGAUUAUGGAUUAUGGACUUGGAAGUGACGGUUUAAAGGUAAAAUGCCUUAACAGAUUUGUUUUAGAAUCUGAAGAAACAAACUCAUCUACAUCCUAAAUACCUGAGGUUUUCUUCAGUCUUGAUGAUGCUUUGUUAAUGGUUACUGACUGCAGUGAUGUCAUCCGAAGAGAAAUCCUCUUCAGCUUAACUUGAUGCGCACAUGCAACGGAUCUCAGUGAAGAUGUGUUGCUCGGCAACCGUACGCAGAAGUGAGGAGUGGGAGUGGACUCUGACUGAGCCGAAUGACGCAAAACAGCAUUUAUCACCAGCACACGUUCAAUAUUUCUGCUAACCUAUUCAGGGCCUUUAAAGAAAUAAACAUAUUUAUUGCUGCACAAAGAAUACGCCCUAUAUGAAUAAAAUAACACAUGUGAGUGUCGCCAUAGCAACUUUUGGAAACUUAAUCACAUCUGUGAUGAUCUGUAAUAUCCUAAGUAAAAACUGAACCAGAGCAGAGUGGGGAGUUAUUGUGCUUAGAUUGUAAAUCAUCAAGUCCAAGCUUGUUGGAAACUCUGUGUUGUGAAAUCUGGCAUACAGAAGUAAUUUACUCAGUGUUCAG
ensembl:lncRNA